UUUCCGUAGGUGAACCUGCGGAGGGAUCAUUCACCAUCAAUGUUUUUUUGGAACUUUACCAUCCCUAUCCACCUUGUGUGCGACGUUUUGAGGUCUUUUUAUCAUUUCGCCGGCAGCGGAAUGUUUCUUCUACCUGCGAGUAGGGCAAGACAAGGAGGCAUUUUAUAUCUUAACUCUUUAUCUUUAAAAAAUUUGACUCAAUAUAUUUUUCGAGUCAACUUUCAAAAUAAAUAGAACUUUCUACAACGGAUCUCUUGACUCUCGCAUCGAGUAAGAAAC
rnacentral:misc_RNA from 1 species